UACGUAGGGUCCGAGCGUUGUCCGGAAUUAUUGGGCGUAAAGGGCUCGUAGGCGGUUUGUUGCGUCGGGAGUGAAAACUCACAGCUCAACUGUGGGCGUGCGGGCGAUACGGGCAGACUAGAGUACUGCAGGGGAGACUGGAAUUCCUGGUGUAGCGGUGGAAUGCGCAGAUAUCAGGAGGAACACCGGUGGCGAAGGCGGGUCUCUGGGCAGUAACUGACGCUGAGGAGCGAAAGCGUGGGGAGCGAACAGG
rnacentral:rRNA from 1 species